rnacentral:snRNA from 1 species
GGAUGUGAGGGCGAUCUGGCUGCGACAUCUGUCACCCCAUUGAUCGCCAGGGUUGAUUCGGCUGAUCUGGCUGGCUAGGCGGGUGUCCCCUUCCUCCCUCACCGCUCCAUGUGCGUCCCUCCCGAAGCUGCGCGCUCGGUCGAAGAGGACGACCUUCCCCGAUAGAGGAGGACCGUUCUUCAGUCAAGGGUAUACGAGUAGCUGCGCUCCCCUGCUAGAACCUCCAAACAAGCUCUCAAGAUACUUGAUAACCCAUAUUUUUAAAAGAUACCGAAUUUCUCUUGGGCACAAAUGAUACUUUUCUAAUGAAAAAGACUUUAAUUU